UACGGGGGGGGCAAGCGUUGUUCGGAAUUACUGGGCGUAAAGGGUUUGUAGGUGGUCUGCUAAGUCAGACGUGAAAUCCCUCAGCUUAACUGGGGAACUGCGUCUGAUACUGGCGGACUUGAGGACAGGAGAGGAACGCGGAAUUCCAGGCGUAGCGGUGAAAUGCGUAGAUAUCUGGAGGAACACCGGUGGCGAAGGCGGCGUUCUGGACUGUUUCUGACACUGAAAAACGAAAGCCAGGGGAGCAAACGGG
rnacentral:rRNA from 1 species